rnacentral:rRNA from 1 species
AUUGAACGCUGGCGGCACGCCUAACACAUGCAAGUCGAGCGGCAGCGAGACUAGUAGCAAUACUAGUUGUCGGCGAGCGGCGGACGGGUGAGUAACACGUAGGAAUCUGCCCUUAAGCGGGGGAUAACCAAGGGAAACUUUGGCUAAUACCGCAUAAUCCCGAGAGAGCAAAGCUGCCCGCAAGGGUGGCACUUGAGGAGGAGCCUGCGUCCGAUUAGCUAGUUGGUGGGGUAACGGCCUACCAAGGCGAUGAGCGGUAACUGGUCUGAGAGGACGAGCAGUCACACUGGUACUGAGACACGGCCCAGACUCCUACGGGAGGCAGCAGUGGGGAAUAUUGGACAAUGGGGGCAACCCUGAUCCAGCGAUGCCGCGGGAGUGAAGAAGGCCUUCGGGUCGUAAAGCUCUUUAGGUUGGGAAGAAGGGUAUUGGCUGAAUAAUCCAGUACUUUGACGGUACCGACAGAAUAAGCACCGGCAAACUCUGUGCCAGCCGCCGCGGUAAAAC